rnacentral:rRNA from 1 species
GCACCUUCGGGUGUGAAUUAGCGGCGAACGGGUGAGGAACACGUGAAGAAUCUGCCUUCAACUCUGGGAUAACUCCGGGAAACCGGGGCUAAUACCGGAUAUGAGCCUUGAUCGCAUGAUCGGGGCUGGAAAGUUUUUCGGUUGAAGAUGACUUCGCGGCCUAUCAGCUUGUUGGUGAGGUAAUGGCUCACCAAGGCGACGACGGGUAGCCGGCCUGAGAGGGCGACCGGCCACACUGGGACUGAGACACGGCCCAGACUCCUACGGGAGGCAGCAGUGGGGAAUAUUGGGCAAUGGAGGAAACUCUGACCCAGCGACGCCGCGUGAGGGAUGAAGGCCUUCGGGUUGUAAACCUCUUUCAGUAGGGAAGAAGCGAAAGUGACGGUACCUACAGAAGAAGCACCGGCUAACUAUGUGCCAGCAGCCGCGGUAAUACAUAGGGUGCAAGCGUUGUCCGGAAUUAUUGGGCGUAAAGAGCUCGUAGGUGGUUCGAUACGUCGGAUGUGAAAAUCAGGGGCUCAACCCCUGACCUGCAUCCGAUACGGUCGAGCUAGAGUUUGGUAGGGGAGACUGGAAUUCCUGGUGUAGCGGUGGAAUGCGCAGAUAUCAGGAGGAACACCGAUGGCGAAGGCAGGUCUCUGGGCCAAUACUGAC